rnacentral:rRNA from 1 species
GACGAACGCUGGCGGCAGGCUUAACACAUGCAAGUCGAGCGAGCGGCGGACGGGUGAGUAAUGUCUGGGAAACUGCCUGAUGGAGGGGGAUAACUACUGGAAACGGUAGCUAAUACCGCAUACCAUCAGAUGUGCCCAGAUGGGAUUAGCUAGUAGGUGGGGUAAUGGCUCGCCUAGGCGACGAUCCCUAGCUGGUCUGAGAGGAUGACCGGCCACACUGGAGCUGAGACACGGACCAGACUCCUACGGGAGGCAGCAGAGGGGAAUAUGGCGCAAUGGGCGCGAGCCUGAUGCAGCCAUGCCGCGUGUGAGGAGAAGGCCUUCGGGUUGUAAAGCACUUUCAGCGAGGAGGCGGUACUCGCAGAAGAAGCACCGGCUAACUCCGUGCCAGCAGCCGCGGUAAUAC